CGGUCCUACAGAUGUGGCGCCAGUUUAAAGAGGUCAUUUCUGAACCUACAAUCAGGUCCUAAAUGGAGCAGUGCAGCGGUCCCGAGCUUCACUGUUGGCGGUUUAGGUAGGACAAUGUACACUGCCAGGAUAACUGGCUUGGAAGGAUUCCGGUUCAAGCUACCACAUCACUCCUAUUCCACGACCCUCCUUGACCUUCACUCUUGCUACAUUGGCUCAUUCCUCCUACAAGACCCCUUCCUAUAGGUCUUGCCUGCUCAUGGUGUGGUUAUGAGGACCAGAAUCGAGCUUCGAGAAAGAGGGCCAAUUUAAAGAAGCUUCCCUAAACCACUGACGCAUACGUGCUGUACUGGAAAGAUGCCGGGACAAGUACUCCUGGCCACAGGUGCCUCAUGCACUAUUCACAAUAGCCAAGACAUGGAAGCAAUCCAAGUGCCCAU